CGAGCGGCGGACGGGUGAGUAAUGCCUAGGGAACUGCCCAGUCGAGGGGGAUAACAGUUGGAAACGACUGCUAAUACCGCAUACGCCCUACGGGGGAAAAGAGGGGGACCUUCGGGCCUUCUGCGAUUGGAUGUACCUAGGUGGGAUUAGCUAGUUGGUGAGGUAAUGGCUCACCAAGGCGACGAUCCCUAGCUGUUCUGAGAGGAUGAUCAGCCACACUGGGACUGAGACACGGCCCAG
rnacentral:rRNA from 1 species